rfam:Pseudomonas aeruginosa PAO1, complete genome.
CGGGUUUACUCCUGGAUGUUACCGUUUCGUCCAGCCGGGGCCGGACGUCGUUUUGGUGUCUGAUUCGGUAACCGAAUCGGGAGCACCAUCUGCGUAGGCUUGUGGUUUAAGGCUUGCGCCACCUACGGUCUUGGAUAGCCCCCGCCAGGCAGGGACCCCAAUACCUGUGCAGCGGGCAGAACCCGCUGCACGA